GGUUAAGCGACUAAGCGUACACGGUGGAUGCCCUGGCAGUCAGAGGCGAUGAAGGACGUGCUAAUCUGCGAAAAGCGUCGGUAAGGUGAUAUGAACCGUUAUAACCGGCGAUGUCCGAAUGGGGAAACCCAGUGCAAUUCGUUGCACUAUCGUUAACUGAAUACAUAGGUUAACGAGGCGAACCGGGGGAACUGAAACAUCUAAGUACCCCGAGGAAAAGAAAUCAACCGAGAUUCCCCCAGUAGCGGCGAGCGAACGGGGAGCAGCCCAGAGUCUGAAUCAGCUUGUGUGUUAGUGGAACGGUCUGGAAAGUCCGACGGUACAGGGUGAUAGUCCCGUACACCAAAAUGCACAGGUUGUGAACUCGAAGAGUAGGGCGGGACACGUGGUAUCCUGUCUGAAUAUGGGGGGACCAUCCUCCAAGGCUAAAUACUCCUGACUGACCGAUAGUGAACCAGUACCGUGAGGGAAAGGCGAAAAGAACCCCGGCGAGGGGAGUGAAAAAGAACCUGAAACCGUGUACGUACAAGCAGUGGGAGCACCUUCGGGUGUGACUGCGUACCUUUUGUAUAAUGGGUCAGCGACUUAUAUUCUGUAGCAAGGUUAACCGUAUAGGGGAGCCGCAGGGAAACCGAGUCUUAACUGGGCGUUAAGUUGCAGGGUAUAGACCCGAAACCCGGUGAUCUAGCCAUGGGCAGGUUGAAGGUUGGGUAACACUAACUGGAGGACCGAACCGACUAAUGUUGAAAAAUUAGCGGAUGACUUGUGGCUGGGGGUGAAAGGCCAAUCAAACCGGGAGAUAGCUGGUUCUCCCCGAAAGCUAUUUAGGUAGCGCCUCGUGAACUCAUCUUCGGGGGUAGAGCACUGUUUCGGCUAGGGGGUCAUCCCGACUUACCAACCCGAUGCAAACUACGAAUACCGAAGAAUGUUAUCACGGGAGACACACGGCGGGUGCUAACGUCCGUCGUGAAGAGGGAAACAACCCAGACCGCCAGCUAAGGUCCCAAAGUCAUGGUUAAGUGGGAAACGAUGUGGGAAGGCACAGACAGCCAGGAUGUUGGCUUAGAAGCAGCCAUCAUUUAAAGAAAGCGUAAUAGCUCACUGGUCGAGUCGGCCUGCGCGGAAGAUGUAACGGGGCUAAACCAUGCACCGAAGCUGCGGCAGCGACACUAUGUGUUGUUGGGUAGGGGAGCGUUCUGUAAGCCUGCGAAGGUGUGCUGUGAGGCAUGCUGGAGGUAUCAGAAGUGCGAAUGCUGACAUAAGUAACGAUAAAGCGGGUGAAAAGCCCGCUCGCCGGAAGACCAAGGGUUCCUGUCCAACGUUAAUCGGGGCAGGGUGAGUCGACCCCUAAGGCGAGGCCGAAAGGCGUAGUCGAUGGGAAACAGGUUAAUAUUCCUGUACUUGGUGUUACUGCGAAGGGGGGACGGAGAAGGCUAUGUUAGCCGGGCGACGGUUGUCCCGGUUUAAGCAUGUAGGCUGAUUGUCCAGGCAAAUCCGGAUAAUCAAGGCUGAGGUGUGAUGACGAGGCACUACGGUGCUGAAGUAACAAAUGCCCUGCUUCCAGGAAAAGCCUCUAAGCAUCAGGUAACAUCAAAUCGUACCCCAAACCGACACAGGUGGUCAGGUAGAGAAUACCAAGGCGCUUGAGAGAACUCGGGUGAAGGAACUAGGCAAAAUGGUGCCGUAACUUCGGGAGAAGGCACGCUGGUGUGUAGGUGAAGUCCCUGCGGAUGGAGCUGAGACCAGUCGAAGAUACCAGCUGGCUGCAACUGUUUAUUAAAAACACAGCACUGUGCAAACACGAAAGUGGACGUAUACGGUGUGACGCCUGCCCGGUGCCGGAAGGUUAAUUGAUGGGGUUAUCCGUAAGGAGAAGCUCUUGAUCGAAGCCCCGGUAAACGGCGGCCGUAACUAUAACGGUCCUAAGGUAGCGAAAUUCCUUGUCGGGUAAGUUCCGACCUGCACGAAUGGCGUAAUGAUGGCCAGGCUGUCUCCACCCGAGACUCAGUGAAAUUGAACUCGCUGUGAAGAUGCAGUGUACCCGCGGCAAGACGGAAAGACCCCGUGAACCUUUACUAUAGCUUGACACUGAACAUUGAGCCUUGAUGUGUAGGAUAGGUGGGAGGCUUUGAAGCGUGGACGCCAGUCUGCGUGGAGCCAACCUUGAAAUACCACCCUUUAAUGUUUGAUGUUCUAACGUUGGCCCCUGACCGGGGUUGCGGACAGUGUCUGGUGGGUAGUUUGACUGGGGCGGUCUCCUCCCAAAGCGUAACGGAGGAGCACGAAGGUUAGCUAAUCCUGGUCGGACAUCAGGAGGUUAGUGCAAUGGCAUAAGCUAGCUUGACUGCGAGCGUGACGGCGCGAGCAGGUGCGAAAGCAGGUCAUAGUGAUCCGGUGGUUCUGAAUGGAAGGGCCAUCGCUCAACGGAUAAAAGGUACUCCGGGGAUAACAGGCUGAUACCGCCCAAGAGUUCAUAUCGACGGCGGUGUUUGGCACCUCGAUGUCGGCUCAUCACAUCCUGGGGCUGAAGUAGGUCCCAAGGGUAUGGCUGUUCGCCAUUUAAAGUGGUACGCGAGCUGGGUUUAGAACGUCGUGAGACAGUUCGGUCCCUAUCUGCCGUGGGCGCUGGAGAAUUGAGGGGGGCUGCUCCUAGUACGAGAGGACCGGAGUGGACGCAUCACUGGUGUUCGGGUUGUCAUGCCAAUGGCACUGCCCGGUAGCUAAAUGCGGAAGAGAUAAGUGCUGAAAGCAUCUAAGCACGAAACUUGCCCCGAGAUGAGUUCUCCCUGAGACUAUAAGUCUCCUGAAGGAACGUUAAAGACGAUGACGUUGAUAGGCCGGGUGUGUAAGCGCAGCGAUGCGUUGAGCUAACCGGUACUAAUGAACCGUGAGGCUUAACCUU
rnacentral:rRNA from 1 species